UGGAUGCUGGGUUUUUAUUUCGGAAGAAGCAGCACACCGGAUGACAGCGCACCGGAUGGGCAGAAGAAUUUUCCAAACCACACAUUCAAAGCCCCAAGAACUUCUGCAGUUCAGAUCUAGGACAUCAUAUGUGAUUUUUGUUUGUUCUCUGAUCCUCAUUACGGGAACUCUGCUGCCAUAUCUGGAGAGUGUGAGAGCGCACCAAAGAUUCUCUUACCCUUGGAUUCGUGAAAUCAAUGGUUAAACGUUUUAUGUCUGUUCGUAUCUGGAGCAUUUGGAUGCUGGGUUUUUAUUUCGGAAGAAGCAGCGCACCGGAUGACAGCGCACCGGAUGGGCAGUAGAAUUUUCCAAACCACACAUUCAAAGACCCAAGAACUUCUGCAGUUCAGAUCUAGGACAUCAUAUGUGAUUUUUGUUUGUUCUCUGAUCCUCAUUACGGGAACUCUGCUGCCAUAUCUGGAGAGUGUGAGGUAGUAGUUCGUGGAGAAGGUAUUUGACCUGUUUCAUCACUUUGUUUCAAUUUUUGUGGUUCUGCAGAGCGCACCAAAGAUAGAGGAGGCUGACAAAGACAAGCUGCAGAAAGAACCAAAAAGCCCAUGGAGCACGUUACGCUCUCCAGGGCCAUCAGGCACACCAACACUCAAGAGUACCUUAGCAUGCAGGAUCUCGAUAUAUCCCAUAUCCACUGUCGCUGAAAAGCAAUGCGGUUGUUCACUCAAUCAGAAACUAAGGACUCUUUAU